CCUACGGGAGGCAGCAGUGGGGAAUAUUGCACAAUGGGGGGAACCCUGAUGCAGCGACGCCGCGUGAGCGAGGAAGUAUUUCGGUAUGUAAAGCUCUAUCAGCCGGGACGAAAAAAGACGGUACCUGACUAAGAAGCCCCGUCUCCCUACGUGCCAGCAGCCGCGGUAAUACGUAGGGGGCAAGCGUUAUCCGGAUUUAUUGGGUUUAAAGGGUGCGCAGUCGGGGGUGCAAGUCAGCGGUCAAAUUGCGGGGCUCAACCCCGUACUGCCGUUGAAACUGCAUCCCUUGAGUGCGCGAGAAGUAUGCGGAAUGCGUGGUGUAGCGGUGAAAUGCAUAGAUAUCACGCAGAACUCCGAUUGCGAAGGCAGCAUACCGGCGCGCAACGGACGUUCAUGCACGAAAGCGUGGGUAUCGAACAGGAUUAGAUACCCGUGUAGUC
rnacentral:rRNA from 1 species